GUCCUUGUAGCGCAAUGGAUAGCGCGUUGGACUUCUAAUCCAAAGGUCAUGGGUUAGAAUCCCUCCUGGGAUG